GGAAGCACCAGGCUCAGUGGCCAAAGCAUCUGCUUGGCAUACAGAAGGCUCCCCAGGUUCAAUCCCUGGUAUUUCCU
rnacentral:tRNA from 1 species